rnacentral:rRNA from 1 species
CCUACGGGGGGCAGCAGUGGGGGAUAUUGGGCAAUGGGCGCAAGCCUGACCCAGCAACGCCGCGUGAAGGAUGAAGUAUUUCGGUGCGUAAACUCCUAUCAGCAGGGAAGAAAAUGACGGUACCUGACUAAGAAGCCCCGGCUAACUACGUGCCAGCAGCCGCGGUAAUACGUAGGGGGCAAGCGUUAUCCGGAUUUACUGGGUGUAAAGGGAGCGUAGACGGGCCAGCAAGUCUGAGGUGAAAACCCGGGGCCCAACCCCGGGAGUGCUGUGGAAACUGCGGGCCUGGAGUGCCGGAGAGGUAAGCGGAAUUCCUGGUGUAGCGGUGAAAUGCGUAGAUAUUAGGAGGAACACCAGUGGCGAAGGCGGUUUACUGGACGGUAACUGACGUUGAGGCUCGAAAGCGUGGGGAGCAAACAGGAUUAGAUACCCGUGUAGUC